UGGGGAAUAUUGGACAAUGGGGGCAACCCUGAUCCAGCCAUGCCGCGUGAGUGAUGAAGGCCUUCGGGUUGUAAAGCUCUUUUGGCGGGGACGAUGAUGACGGUACCCGCAGAAUAAGCCCCGGCUAACUUCGUGCCAGCAGCCGCGGUAAGACGAAGGGGGCUAGCGUUGUUCGGAAUUACUGGGCGUAAAGCGAGUGUAGGCGGUUGCCGUAGUCAGGUGUGAAAGCCUUGAGCUCAACUCAAGAAAUGCACUUGAUACUGGGUGACUAGAGGACCGGAGAGGAUAGUGGAAUUCCCAGUGUAGUGGUGAAAUACGUAGAGAUUGGGAAGAACACCAGUGGCGAAGGCGGCUAUCUGGACGGUUACUGACGCUAAGACUCGAAAGCGUGGGGAGCAAACAGGA
rnacentral:rRNA from 1 species